GAUCCUUUUCUGGAGAUCCUUCUUCUGUGGGGUCUUUCCUGUGAACCUAGAUCUUUGGAUACAGGCAAGACGUGACAGGAGGUCACUCUGAAAAAUUUCAACUGGAGAUGACCUCAAGUCAGUCACUAACCGUGGGGUCUGGAGCUUUUUGGAUAAGUUUGGCAUCAUUGUCUUAGCUGUGGGAUCCAGAACCCUGUCUGUGUGAUCUAAACUUCUGGCUAAAGACUAAAAACUUCGUGUGGACUCAAAUUCUGUUAUAUUUUAAAAUAAGAGUGAUCCAUAUUAAAGAAGCCAGUAAAGCCUUUCUAUAGUUUUGUCAACAGCAUGUUUCAUUUUUUUCAAAAGCUUUCUGACUCCAGUGGCAUCAAUCAUCAAAGCAACUCAAACUGUUUAGACUGCUUCUGGACCUUGCCUUGAACUAUCCAUCAGGGGGGCUUUGGGAAUAGAAGAACAGCAAUUUUUAAGAGAAGAUGGAACAGUAAGGAAAAAGCUAAGCCAUGUCCUUUGUUUGAUUUCUCUUGUGAAAUGAAACAAAAGAAAAAGAUACUGAGCUGUCUGGACUAGUAGAAUGAGCAGUUCAAAACACUACAUUUUCAAUUUGUUUCACUGGAAAGAAGUUCUUUGCUGCUACCAUUUCUUCUGUUGUAUAAAAUACCUGUUUGCUCUUUAAAAUGUACUAAAAAUAUAUAAGAAAAUGCGCACUCUAUGAACUGAGUUACUUCUGCCUCCUCACUUGCUCCUGUCAGCUCUCCUACUUAUGUUUAUUUGUCUUCAGAUUUUCCUAAUGUCCUGAUUUUGCUGCUGCUGCCAGCACUUUGAGAGAUAGACACAUCACAGAAGUGAGAAAAGGAAGAAUCCAAUAAAAUUGGAGUUAAAUUCA